rnacentral:lncRNA from 1 species
UGCCCAUCGUUUCGGCGUCGCUCAGCAGCCCUGAAGGCUUAAGGCACGGACGGAUAGGAAAGCGGGAAGUCCUCUGGUGAUUAAAAAAAAAAAAGGUGGGGAGGGGAAAAAAAUCUAAGGCGGGGGGAGAAGAGAGCCAGCCGAGGAGCCGCUGAGCGCCUCCUCAGCAAGCUUCAUCAGCAGCACUACUAAGGCGGCGAGGCUGCCUGCCUGCCUGCCCGCCCGUGCCCUGGAAAUCUGCCUGCUUCGGCUCGAAGGCAUCGCUUUGCACUUUCCCCUAUCAGAGGCUAAAUCUUCUGUGCAGGCACAGUGUGGAGAAGGUUCCAGGGUGUUGUGGACAUAUGGGAGUUAUCCACGACAUGGUCUCCAUCANAGAUCUUCUGUCACUCAGUAAGAAAAUCAAACUUCCAUUGUUCC